UACGGGGGGGGCAAGCGUUGUUCGGAAUUACUGGGCGUAAAGGGCUCGUAGGCGGCCAACUAAGUCAGACGUGAAAUCCCUCGGCUCAACUGAGGAACUGCCUUUGAAACUGUACGGCUUGAGGCCGGGAGGGGGUAGCGGAAUUCCCAGUGUAGCGGUGAAAUGCGUAGAUACUGGGAGGAACACCAGUGGCGAAGGCGGCUACCUGGACCGGUUCUGACGCUGAGGCGCGAAAGCGUGGGUAGCAAACAGG
rnacentral:rRNA from 1 species